CCUCUCUUUCCUAUUUGCGGGGGGAACGGCGAUAACGGUAGCGCUAUUGGAAGAAGCACUUGUCAAUCCAAUCCGAUUGGAUGGGGGGGUGGAGCCUCCCCGCCCACUCCCUAACCGCUACCGGUCAGGCUUCCUCGGUGCGCCGCUUUAACUCGGGAAGCUGUGGGGCUGCGUCAUCAGCUCGUGCCUCCUCUCUUCCGGAUCCGGCUGGUGGCCGCUUUGCUUGACUUUAGAGCGUGGCGGGGAGGCAGGGUUCGGGCCUGCUGAGCGCACCGCUGUAGUGGGGUCCGGAGCAGCGUUGUCCGCCGAGAGGGUUGUCCUGCGGCGGUUCUGCCGAAGCGUAAAAGCGGAGCCUAGGAGUACAAGAUGGAGGGAUGGGCGCAGAUGCUCUUUAGGGGCUGGCCCGUGCGCGCAGCCCGCCCCGCUGGAGCUCCCUGUCAGCCCCCGGGCUCCUUCCGAGCGCUGAGCGGAGCGCGGAGGCCCGAAGCAGCGAGGGCCGUGCGGUAAGAGGGCGCGUUGUGGAGUUUUCCUCGGAGCUGAAGAACAAAAGCGAUGUGUCCCGCAGCUAUUUCCACAAGGAUAUGGUUAAUAAGAAAAGAGAAGCGAAAUGGAGACAUCAAACUGAGGGGUCAUAAACUCACGUGGGGACAAUGAUUUAAAUCACCUGUUCACAAGAAGUAUUAAUGGAACUCCCAUGGGAUUUCUGAUGUUUUGCUGUUCUUCCUGUUAGAAGGACUGUUAUCACCUCAUCUUGAAAGCAGUAACAAAAGCAUGUUCAAACUGCAGGCUUUAAACUCAAUCACUUCCAGGCCUUCUGCAGCUGGAUAAAAAGAUCAGAAGUAAAGGCUUGUUUCAGCUUAUCAGGGCAGGACACCUCUUUGUGUCCAAGUCAGAUAUGUCUUCCUUACUUGUGAAAGAACCUGGAAAUGAAGUGUUAUUAUGUGCAUUAACAGUUAAAAACACUUAAGUAGAGCUUAUUAUCUCAUGAAGCUUUUUUUGAAGCUCCUGUUCUGCAUGCUAGGUAAAUAAUUUGAGGCAUACCAUCAGGGCAUCGUCUGGCAGCAUCAGCUUGUCCUUUGAGACCAGUUCGAAUGCUCAGUGUACCUACAGUUCUGGACUGCACAGUUAAAAUCUGUGUGGCAUGCGUACAUUUUGAAUGCUGAAGUAGAAGCUGUGAAACUUUUAUAGUAACUUAUUACUUAACUGGUGAUCUAAACCAGUUGUUGGAUUUGGAUCGUGUAAGGAUCUCUGCCUUUAACAAGGGGAAGUCAUGUUAGUAAUAAACGUAAAAGUGUUCUGAGUCCUGUACUGAGUGAGUAGAAUGUAAAAUGUUCAAGGUAGAGGACAGACCUUUAAAUUAGACACUUCUUAGAUUUCAAAGUAAUUAAUAAUAUAGUACAAAUUAGUACCAAGUAAUUUGUCCCAGUAUGAUAAGUAUACUCAGUCUGCCUUGGGAAUUGUGAAGCUGUCCUGUGGCAAGAACCAUGUGGUGUGAACUUUGGAAUAGGGUAGAAUUGCUGUUUAGUAUAAGCAAGCUUCUUGCAACUAUGUUGCCUGAGCAGAGUCUUUUAGACCUUUGUUCCUUAUUUGCAGGUGAUAGCAAUCCUUGAGUCUUUCAUUAUUACAAAAGAAGUGUAACUUAGAUAUGUUAAUUUCCAUACGCAGUUGAGAAGUGUUACCUCUGAGUAUGCUUUGUGCAUCUCUUGGCCUCUUUUUGACUUGGAGUUAAGAAUGGCAGAAUUUUUCACGGGCUUAAAAAAAACAUUGCACAAAGUUGAGAAAGUAAAAUGUAUCUGUUAAAUACAGGUAUAAUAUUACUAGGUCAAGUAUUGAGCAAAAAAAAAUCUAGAGACAGUUUGUUUUAAGAAUGUUCAGUUGCAGUGAGGCAAGAAAAGUUCUGAUGAGCUUGUAUUUAGUGUCCACGAGAGGGCUCUGUCAGCUCAGGGCUGCCCGCUGAAGGUCUCUGGCUGAGUCACUUCACUAAAAUGGCAGGUUGCAGUAACUGGAUUUUUACUGUCACUGAGGAUGGUUAGAUCUUUUGAAUUCCCUUAUCUUAAUAGUGCAACAAUCGCUUGAGAUAAUAAUUGCUAUUACCGGGAAAAUCCUCCAAUAAAUAAUCAUAGAAUCAUAAAAUGGCCUGGGUUGAAAAGGACCACAGUGAUCUUUGAGUUUCAACCCCCCUGCUAUGUGCAGGGUCGCCAACCACCAGACCAGGCUGCCCAGAGCCACAUCCAGCCUGGCCUUGAAUGCCUCCAGGCAUCCACAACCUCCUUGGGCAACCUGUUCCAGUGCGUCACCACCCUCUAUGAGUGGAAAAACUUCCUCUUAAUAUCUAACCUAAACCUCCCCUGUCCCAGUUUAAAACCAUUCCCCCUUGUCCUAUCACUACCCACCCUCGUAAACAGCUGUUCUCCCUCCUGUUUAUAUGCUCCCUUCAAGUAUUGGAAGGCCACAAUAGGGUCUUCCCGGAGCCUUCUCUUCUCCAAGCUAAACAAGUUCCCUCAACCUUUCCUCAUGGGAGAGGUGCUCUAGCCCUCUGAUCAUCUUAGUGGCCCUCUUCUAUAUAAGUUUGUUGUGGUUUUUUCUUCUGUUUUUGUUUGCUUGUUUUGUUUUAAUUAAGAAUGUACAGCAAGGUAUGCUUUAUUUUGAGAAAUGUCACAUCUGUUGGAGAAACAUCACUGGAACUUUAAUAAACAUCAGUGGCCAUAUCAUCUGCUCCAUGGAACAAGAGAGAUACUAUCAAGCAUAUCAUUACAUGUGGAUUUCAACUGUAUUAGAAGUUUCUCCAAGUAAAUGUUGAAGCAUUUUGCACACAACAGCAUAUUUGUGAAGUAGAUGGAAUUGUUAUGAUGUGCCUUAAAUAUAAGUUUAUUUUAGCAGUAUAAGCAUGGUGCUAUCAUGUUUCAAUAAAGAUUUGUGGUUUUCAUUACAAAUCCUUUAGCCUC
rnacentral:lncRNA from 1 species